rnacentral:rRNA from 1 species
UGGGGAAUUUUGGACAAUGGGCGAAAGCCUGAUCCAGCAAUGCCGCGUGUGUGAAGAAGGCCUUCGGGUUGUAAAGCACUUUUGUCCGGAAAGAAAUCCUUGGCUCUAAUACAGUCGGGGGAUGACGGUACCGGAAGAAUAAGCACCGGCUAACUACGUGCCAGCAGCCGCGGUAAUACGUAGGGUGCAAGCGUUAAUCGGAAUUACUGGGCGUAAAGCGUGCGCAGGCGGUUUGCUAAGACCGAUGUGAAAUCCCCGGGCUCAACCUGGGAACUGCAUUGGUGACUGGCAGGCUAGAGUAUGGCAGAGGGGGGUAGAAUUCCACGUGUAGCAGUGAAAUGCGUAGAGAUGUGGAGGAAUACCGAUGGCGAAGGCAGCCCCCUGGGCCAAUACUGACGCUCAUGCACGAAAGCGUGGGGAGCAAACAGGAUUAGAUACCCCUGGUAGUCCACGCCCUAAAACGAUGUCAACUAGUUGUUGGGGAUUCAUUUCCUUAGUAACGUAGCUAACGCGUGAAGUUGACCGCCUGGGGAGUACGGUCGCAAGAUUAAAACUCAAAGAAUUGACGGGGUCAUAGCUGUUUCCU